AACUCCAUGGAGGGCCGAACACACGUCCGUUGAAAAGGCCGGUGAUGAGGUGUGGAUAGCGGAGAAAUUCCAAUCGAACUCGGAUAUAGCUGGUUCUCUCCGAAAUAGCUUUAGGGCUAGCCUCGUGAAAGAUUACUGGAGGUAAAGCACUGAAUGGGCUAGGGGUCGAAAGAUUACUGAACCCUAUCAAACUAAGAAUGCCAGAUAAUUGAUUCACGGGAGUCAGACAAUGUGAGAUAAGUCUCAUUGUCAAAAGGGAAACAGCCCAGACCCACAGCUAAGGUCCCUAAACAUUGUUAAGUGGAAAAGGAUGUGGGGUUGCAUAAACAACCAGGAUGUUGGCUUAGAAGCAGCCACUCAUUAAAAGAGUGCGUAAUAGCUCACUGGUCGAGUGACCCUGCGCCGAAAAUUCAACGGGGCUAAACAAUGUACCGAAGCUUGGGAUUCUAAAGUAAUUUAGAGUGGUAGGAGAGCGUCGAAUAAGGGGUGAAGUCAGAGCGGAAGCGCUGGUGGACUUUAUUCGAGUGAGAAUGCCGGAAUGAGUAGCGAGAAUUAUGUGAGAAUCAUAAUGGCCGAAAAUCUAAGGUUUCCUGAGGAAGGUUCGUCCGCUCAGGGUAAGCCGGGGGCUAAGGCGAGGCGGAGACGCGUAGCCGAUGCACAUACGGUUGAAAUUCCGUAGCCACCGAAAGAUUUAAGUACAGGGACGCUUUAGAAGUGAUGUUGCCGGGCGAUGGUUGACCCGGUCGUAAGGGAUCGAAAAUGAGUAGAGAAGUCAUCAUGGAAAGAGACAAGAAAAGCUGUAUGAAUAUCUUAGGUGCCCGUACCGCAAACCGACACAGGUAGAUAGGAAGAAGAUUCUAAGGCCAACGGGAGAAGGGUUGUUAAGGAACUCGGCAAGUUGACCCCGUAACUUAGGGAUAAGGGGUGCUCAAGUGAUUGAGCCGCAGAGAAUAGGCCCAGGCGACUGUUUAGCAAAAACACAGGUCUCUGCUAAAUCGAAAGAUGACGUAUAGGGGCUGACACCUGCCCGGUGCCGGAAGGUUAAGAGGAGAUGUGAGAGCAUUGAAUUGAAGCCCCGGUAAACGGCGGCCGUAACUAUAACGGUCCUAAGGUAGCGAAAUUCCUUGUCAGGUAAGUUCUGACCCGCACGAAAGGUGUAACGAUCUGGGCACUGUCUCAACAACCCGCCCGGCGAAAUUGUAGUACCGGUGAAGAUGCCGGUUACCCGCGACUAGACGGAAAGACCCCAUGGAGCUUUACUGUAGCCUAAUAUUGGAUUUCGGUAUUUCACGUACAGGAUAGGUGGGAGACUGGGAAGCACAGGCGUCAGCUUGUGUGGAGUCGACCUUGGGAUACCACUCUUGGAGUGCUGGAAUUCUAACCUGCGGCUUUGAAGCAAGUCGGGGGACAUUGUUAGGUGGGCAGUUUGACUGGGGCGGUCGCCUCCUAAAGAGUAACGGAGGCGCUCAAAGGUUCGCUCUGCAUGGAUGGAAACCAUGCGUCAGAGUGUAAACGCAAAAGCGAGCCUAACUGCGAGAAUGACGGUUCGAGCAGUAACGAAAGUUGGAGUUAGUGAUCCGGCGGUAUGUGAAUGGAAAUGCCGUCGCUCAACGGAUAAAAGCUACCCUGGGGAUAACAGGCUGAUCUCCCCCAAGAGUCCACAUCGACGGGGAGGUUUGGCACCUCGAUGUCGGCUCAUCGCAUCCUGGGGCUGAAUUCGGUCCCAAGGGUUUGGCUGUUCGCCAAUUAAAGCGGUACGCGAGCUGGGUUCAGAACGUCGUGAGACAGUUCGGUCCCUAUCUGUCGUGGGCGUAAGAUAUUUGAGGAGCUCUGUCCUUAGUACGAGAGGACCGGGAUGGACGCACCUCUGGUGCACCAGUUGUCACGCCAGUGGCACAGCUGGGCAGCUAAGUGCGGAACGGAUAAACGCUGAAAGCAUCUAAGCGUGAAGCCGGCUCCAAGAUAAGAUAUCUCCAGACCCCUUGUAGACUACGAGGUUGAUAGGCUGCGUGUGUAAGUGUCGUGAGGCAUUGAGCUUGGCAGUACUAAUAGGUCGGAAGCUUGACCAU
rnacentral:rRNA from 1 species